UAAUAAUCUAUACCAAGGAUUAUUUAAAUACAAUGAACAACAGACCUGAAAAAUACAACAAAUUUUCAAGAGAGCAAAUUGAUGCUCUUAAUUACUAUUUUGAGAAUGGCAUGAAAUCUACUCUUUGCUUUGAGCUGAUAAAAACAGCCGCCGAAGAAACGUCGUUGCCUGCGGACAAAGUCAAGAUGAAGUAAAGGGGUUGUCUGACCUGAGUGAAAAAAAUAAA